AGCUCAUAGCCAAAAGAAACACAACUAGCACUCAAUUCAACAUCUAAUCCAAUAUGAGCACACUCUCUUAUCACACUCUAGCUUCUCUAGGCCUAUCUCAACUCCUUUUGCCCUUAUACUCAUCAUCAAACAUCCACACAUUCAAAUCAACCAACUCUCACAUUCAUUAAGCAUAAAACAUCAAGUGAAUUCUUGCAAAUGGUCAAUUGGUCCAAAUCAUUUGGUUGAGUAAAGGGAAAGCUUUUAUUCAAGUGAGUCAAGAGGUUCAAAACACAUGAUCUUUAAAGGUGGUUUACACUCAAGACAAGUAGCCUUGACAUUGCACAUAAUAUAUCUAAGAAAGGGACCAACUCAUGCAUACAAUGCUCAAUCUCCAUUGUUCUACCCUUUUCCCAAACAUACAAGUUACACAAUCACUUCAUAAUGUCAAACCCAACUCCCAUCUCUCAUCAAAAGAUCCCAAGAACACUUUGCACAUAAAACUCUUUUUCUUUGAAAUCUAUAAAUGAUUUUCUCAACUUCAAAACAAAUCUUAGCUCUAAACAACUUUGCUAGCCCCCUUUUUUUUUUUUUAUAUAUUUUUUUUUCUUUUUCUCUUUUAUAUUCUUUUUUUUUUCCGGGGGCCAAGACUUUUCAUAAACUCGAGCUAGACACUUAUCUACUAAUUCCAAUAAGAUUAUCCAUUUAAACACAAAGAGUUUAUUCUUUUCCUUCGAACUUUUCAUGCUUCCAAAUCAUAGUCACAACACUCACCCCCACCU
rnacentral:lncRNA from 1 species